AGGAUUGAGCGGGAAGGCGCCAGGAGAGCCGGCAGCCCGGCCUGGGAGGGGCUCUCACUCUUCCUCUGCCAGAAGCCUUAUCGAGCGCAGGGUGUUUGACUUCAGAAACACAUCCCCACGGCUUUCCUUUCCGCCUUCCUUCUGGGACUGAUUUGUUUACUUCUUUCAGAGGUUCGCCGUCCCUCUUUCUGCAGGGGUUUGCUGGAUCACAGGUCCCCAGUGCCCCGGACAUAGUGUGUGAGGAAUGCGGGUAUGAGAGAUACUAACAUAGGCAAAGUCGGCUCAUCUCAUCCAACCUCACCACCCUGUGCAUUGCAACCCCACAGUGCAAUGUAAAGAUGGGGAAACAGGCCCAGAGACUCAAGAGAAAUGAAACGAGUGGAGAUUGAGACUGAACUGGACCGGGAUCCGGGCCCCACAGCUGGGCUUGUCCCGAGGCUGUGUGCUGCCCCCGGAGCUCCUUGGAUGGAGAAGCGCUCCCUGCCCCUCCCUGCUCCAUGCCUGGCUUAGACACACGGCGGCCCUGCUCAUGCCUGAAAUUCCACCCUUAGCCACCCUCCCCUGUUUGGCAUUGCCCUCGCACCCCCUCUCGAGGGACACAGAAACCCCGCGUGUGGGUGUCCUCACUGCAGGUCUCCCUACCUGGCAGGCGGGGAAUGUUUUGGGGCAGGUGGUGGGCAAUGGAGGAGAAACAGUAAGCAGGGAUUUCAGGAAGAAGAAAACGCCAGCAAGAUCUGAUCCUGGUCCUCAAAGAGCAUGGAGACCCUCUUUAUACAAAUGGGAAUACUGAGGUAUGCAGUUCGAGAGGAUUGACCGAGGCCAUUUGGCUGGUUGAAGAGCGAUGCUGCGUGUCCAGAGCAGCGGGUGUGGGAGGCAGAGCCUGGAGCUCCCAGAGCCGGCGGCCCACGGCCUCGCCUCCAGCCAGGAGGGUGCGGAAUUCUCCCCCACCCAGCAGAGGCUCUGGCCAUCUGUCUCCAAGGAUGCGGGGGAGCGGACCGGCUGUGCCGCUCUAGGGCUGCUCCGCCUGACAGACAGCAGUGUCGACCACCCAUGUUUGCUGCACAGACUCUAGCUUCCACACCCCUCCCCACCCCAGCAGCCUGGGGAAGGAAGGCUGGAGGUCCCUGCAUGACGGGUGAGGAGAGAGGACAGGAGCCCGGUGCUCUGAACACCGCCCCAGCCCAGCUGCACGUCAGGACCCCGCACUGGCCUCUUACAUUGAGAAGCCAAGACCCACCCAAAACCCAGCUAUCAAAGUCUCUGGGGACAGCACCAGCAGGGCAGAGGGCGUUGGUUCCCUUAGAAUGUGCUAGAAGGCUCAUCCCUGCAGGAGGUGCCCCUGCAGGCAUCCUUGCCCCCACACUGCCUGGUGCUGCCCACCUGCUCACUUGCAGGUGACCCUAGUUUCUCAGUGGCUCGGCAGCCUCGCGGGCUGUUGUAACACUGACACCACGUCUGUGAGAUCAUUGGCUUGGAAGAUUCAGCUCAGAAUUGGAUAGAAGGGCCCUGCCCUGCCAGGCACAGCUGCCGGCCCUUGUCACCUGCAGCUGCAUGAGAAACUAAGGCUCAAACCAAAUCCUUCUGGACAGAAAAGCAGGUCCCCCUCCACUACCCCUUCGUCUGGGCUCUCGGUCAGCGGGGUCAGGGUGGCCGGGACAGUCACUCUCAUUUCCAGAGGAGGCGAGAGGCAGAUGAAGGCCAUGGACAGCAAGCCAUGGGGCCACAGCACAGCCUCAGGUCGUUGCUGACACACCUGCGCCUCCCACAGCCCUCCCCAGGAAAGCCGCGGCAGAGCUCACCCCACUCCCAGGGUGCUCACCUGGGACCUCCUCACCUCUGCACCUGCCCUGGGUAUCCUCAGCCGUGACCCUGGCCUGGCAGUGCCGGCGGACAGGUUGCAACCAGCCCAGCUCCCCAGGGGUGAGAGGGGCCCAUCACCGGCCACCCACAGGCAUCCCUGGGUCUGCUUUUUGGAGCAGUGUCCGGGGUUCCCUUCAUAUCCUUUAUAUCUAUGUGAACCUGACCGGCACACUCACUCCAGGCCCAGGUGUUCUGUAAACACUGAACACCAUGCUGUUAACCAAGGUUACGUUAAAAAGUGACUAUGUGGCCAGGAAAUAGAUUUUGUAUAGUUAUGUGCUGUUAGGAUAGAUACGGGUUUUCGUCUGCGGCUCCUGGCUUAUAACUCCCAUAGCACUUGUUCCCAUUUGCGUUAGAAUGUUGGGGGUGUUGAGCCUCAUGGGCAGCCUCUGCCUUCUCCUGCCCUCCUUUCACCUGCCCCAAGGCGGCACCCUAACUUUCUCCUGCCUUUCGGAUUGUGGGUCUUAAGACCCUCCCAUGAGAGGGUCCCAUCCUAUGCCAUGGGGGAAGGAAUGCUGACAUCAUGAAGCUUCCAUAAAAUCCCAAGAGGACUCGGUUCAGUGCGGUUCCUGGAGUGUGGCGCGCCCAGCAAGGAUGUGGGAGCUCUGCGUCCCUUCCUCCCACUUCGGUCUACGCAUCUCUUCAUCUGCAAUAUUCUUUUUCAUUAAUCUAUAAAUGUGUUUGCCUGAGCUCUGCGAGCUGCUCCAGCAAAUUAAUAGAAUUGGAAAGAGGGGGUCAUGGGAAUGCCAACCUGAAGGCGGCCAGUCAGAAGUUCCAGGGGCCCAGACUUGCGGCUGGUGUGUGUAGGGGCAGCCUUGGCGGGGGAGCAUCACAGAAGUCUUCUCCUGUGUUGAUGAUUAUUGAGGUGUGAGAGUAGAGGAGAAACACAGUUCAGGUGAGAGGCUUCCCUGCACAAGUUACCAACCAUAUGACCUGGCACAACUUUCCCAACCUGUGCCCCUUCCUCGCCUACUGGGGGGUAAUGAGAUCAAUGCCGUAGCCUGAGCAAGAGCCCAGAACGGGGCUGGGUGGGUGGGCAAACCUCGAGAAACGUGAGCUCGUAUGUGAGGCAUAUGACAGGCCGAACAGUGUGCCAUGUCCGUGGUGCCAUGCCCCAGCGUGGCUUUGAGCGCAGUGACUCUCUUAGAUUUCUGAUUGUAAAGGCCCUGUGUGCUGGGUAAAGAGUUUGGAGAAAUGCAGAAAAUUUAAAGAACAUGAAGAACUGCCCAGAAAUAACAACUGUGAACGUUUUGGAGGCCUCUCGUCCUUUCCUGUGUACCUCGUGGCACAGCUACACUGUGCCCUGCCUGGGGUCCCAGAACAUGACAGCAUCCACUGCCACCCUGACUCAUGCCUGUCCUCAGCUGGGCUCCUGCGCCAACCACAACCCCACUCCCCCCUGAAUGACAGCCAGUCUGUCAGGAUAUUCCUCCUCCGCUCAGGGCAGCCCCACUGCCGAGUCCCCAGCAUGCAUUGACUUGGGUACUCCCUACCUUGAGUCAACCAUUAGGCCCAUCACGCUGAUGCAGAGCAGGGAGCCCCAAAGUGGGGCUGGGCCCCCAAGGAUUCUUUACUUCACCCAGGAGAGACUUCAAGGGCAAGCCCCUGGUGGGGUGGGGCUUUAUUGACGAGGCAGUGUUGCAGCUCCGUGACUGUCCCUACAGAGCAGGACUACCCCACAGGCAGUGCGCUGAGAGGAGCAGCUCAGAGCAGUUGUGCAGUCACAUCUAUAUCUACUUUUAAUUACAAGCAGAUUAAGGGGUGGUUUAUGCAGAAAUUUCUAGAUCCUGGGGUUAUUGCCAUGGAAAGAGGAGGUAACGCCCAGGUGUUGCCAUGGCAGCGGUCAACUCACACUGGUGGGCGUGUCUUAUGGAAAGGUGCUUCCACCCCAUCCCUGUUAUAGCUGGUCCUCAAUUUGGUCCAGCAUCUGAGCCCCGCCUCUGGAGUAGAGUGCCACCUCUCCACUGCAAUGUGGGUGGGGACAGAUCCCCUGGGGCACCUAGCUGAAAGUCACAUCCUGCCGGAAGAGCUAAGACCACACCUGUCUGUCUGAUUUCUGAAGCUGGGCUCUCAUCCCUUGGAUCUCUGGCUCCCUUCUUGUCCUAGAGGCGAAGGGGAAGAGCUAAAUAUUUCGUGACCUUUAGGCCAUACUUGUAGAGGGGUGUGCAGGCGGGAGGAACUGAGGCCAGGUUCCGACUCUGGCUGGAGGCCUACCCAGGCCCCUGAGGUUUCUCCAGGGUCAACCCCAUGGCCCACUGGCAGCUGAGUCACACAGAGUGAUUGCUGGUCAUGCCCUUGAUUGAGAACGAUGCACUCAGAGCGUCCUCCGCUCAUAAAUAGCAGGAAGCAAAGUACAUUACGAGAGCAUAUGGUACCUCUAGGCCAUUUCUGCCUCUGGCCCCGUCACUGCCACAGUGGCUGAAACUCAUCUUCUGUUCUGACAGGUUUCCCUAGAAACCCAUCAAUUUAUAGUGUCUAUAGCUGGCCUUUUGGAGGCCCCAGACCAAACUGUGUUAGAAAACAACAGCAACAACAAAACUCCUAUUUCUCCAAAUGGCCCUGGAAGAUGCACCGGCUGUGCCCUCAAGACGCUGUGUGUGGGGCAUCCGCCUCCCUGGGCGCGUGGAGCUGGCUGAUGGCCAGGGUGUAAGGGUGCAUACUGGGCAAGGACGGGCUGAGGCAGUUGGCAAGGUCUGCAUCACCUCCACCCAUCCGUGGUCCCUGGUCAUGAAGGAUACGCCCAUCCAUCCACCUUUCUGAAACUGUUGUCAACGCACUCUGAAUUCAGGAAUGCUCUCCUCUCUCUUCCUUCUCCCCUUGGCAGACUCAGGGCGGAAAUGGUAGCUGACGUUUUCCCCAAGAGCGAGGACAAGGAAUGACCAAAAGAUCAUCAUCCCAGGGGCUUUGGGAAUGUGGGCCCUGCUGCAUUUCCUUCAGCAGAAGGGUUUCUUUCCUUCAGUUUCCAUCAGCUUUCAGGGAGGACAAAGGUCCCUUUUGCUAACUGAUCUCUGUCUCACCCUCUGCAAACCCAUCCUAUAGGCUGCAGUCAUGGCCCCACUUGGGAGUCCGCCUCCUUUCUCUCACUCCUGACUUCCCAAAACUCUGGCUGGUUGUGUGCUCCAGGGAACUUUCUAGGGUGAUGGCAAUAUGCCAUAAUUUGGAGUUUUAGGGUGGUAGUUACGUGGGUGCCUACAAUUGUUAAAAUUUACUAAAUUAAGAUCUGUGCAUCAUAUUGUGUUAAAUUGUAUCUCAAACAGAAAAGGACGAGAGUGCACCUUGUGGAGGGCAAAUCUGUGCCGCACCCCCCAGCCCCGCCGGUGCUCUGGGGUUGGCCUCAGCUCAUGCCCUGCAAGUCCUCGCCUGCAGACGCAGCUUGCUUUGCUCAGCACGCUCAUGCGUGUAUGCCACGGGUCAGUUGAGAUCUGGACCAUGGGUAGGUACAGAAUCUUUCUUGGUUAUUGUGAUGGUUUUAACAGCUUUGUUGAGCUGUAAUCUGCCUACUAUCGAAUUUCCCCAUUUAAAAUACACAACUCAAUGCUUUUUAGUAACUGUCUCCACGAGCUGUGCAACCAUCAGCACAGUCUAAUGUGAGAACAUUUUCAUUGUCCCUUCCCAAAGAAGGCCUGUAUUAAUUAGCAGUCAUUCCCCGAUCCCUCACCUCCUCUAGGUCUUACCUGACCCCAGGCCAGCACCAAUCUCCUGUCUGUCUCUAUGAAUUUGCUGAUUCUGGACAUUUUGUAUAAAUGGAAUCAGACAACGGAUGCUCUUAGUGACUGGCUUCUCCACUUGGCAGAAUGUGUUCAAGCCUCUUCCAUGUUGCAGCACACAAUUGUACUUCAUCCUUUUUUGUUGCUGCAUAAUACUCCAUGGUUGCUGAAUACUAUUCCAUGGUAUUACUUGUCAGUUGGUAGACAUUUGGGUUGUUUCUACUUUUUGGCUGUUAAGAUCUAAUGCUGCUAUGAAAUUCAUGUACAAGUUUUUAUGUGAACAUGUUUCCAGUUUUUGUGAGCAUAUACCUAGGGGUGCAAUUGCUGGGUCAUAUGGUAACUGAAUAAUUAAUCUUUUGAUGAACUGCCAGGCUGUUUUCAAAUCAACUGCAUGAUUUUACAUCCCACCAGCAGCAUAUGAAAGUUCCAAUUUCUCUACAUCCUUGCCAACACUUGUUAUUAUCUGUCUUCAUGACUACAGCCAUGCUAAUGGAUGUGAAGUGGUAUCUUACUGUGAUUUUGAUUUGCAUUUCCCUGAUGGCUAAUGCAGCUGAGCAUCUUUUCAUGUGCUUAUUGGCCAGUUGUGUAUCUUCUUUGGAGAAAUGUCUAUUCAAGUCUUUUGCCCCUUUUUAAAAAAUUGAGUUCUCUGUCUUUUAAUUAUUGCAUAGUGAGUUCCUUAUUAUUAUUAUUAUUAUUAUUAUUAUUCUUUUAUUUUAUUUUUAUGAGAUGGAGUCUCACUCUGUCACCAGGCUGGAGUGCAAUGGCUUGAUCUUGGCUCACUGCAACCUCCACCUCCCAGGUUCAAGCAAUUCUCCUGCCUCAGCCUCCCAAAUAGCUGGGACUGCAGGUGCACACCACCAUGCCCAGCUAAUUUUUGUAUUUUUAGUAGAGACAGGGUUUCACCAUGUUGGCCAGAAUGGUCUCAAUCUUGUCAAGAUCAGGAUCAGGUGAUCCUCCUGCCUCGGCCUCCCAAAGUGCUGGGAUUACAGGCAUGAGCCACUGUGCCCAGCUGUGAGUUCUUUAUUCUAGAUACAAGUCACUUAUCAGAUGGAUGAUAUAUAACGAUUUUC
rnacentral:lncRNA from 1 species